rnacentral:lncRNA from 1 species
GGGGGGGAGGGGCGGCGAGGCGAGGCCUGCGGAGCGGAGGAAGACAAACAUAAAGAUGAAGUGCUUAAUUCAAGGUCACACAAUGUCGGGGAUGGACCUCCAGAUUUCCUUACUGGUGAGACGUGGUCUUGUAACACAGUGGUUAAGAAUGUGACUUUGGAGCCAGCCUGCUAGGGGCUGAAUUCUGACUCAGCCAUUUACUAACUGUGUGACCUUAGGCUGGAGUGCAAUGGCAUGAUCUCGGCUCAUCACAACCUCUGCUUCCUGGGUUCAAGCGAUUCUCCUGCCUCAGCCUCCCGAGUACCUGGGACUACAGGCACUCGCCACCAUGCCCGGCUGAUUUUUGUAUUUUUAAUAGAGAUGGUUUCACUAUGUUGGCCAGGCUGGUCUCGAACUCCUGACCUUGUGAUCUGCCCACCUCAGCCUCGAAAAGUGCUGGGAUUACAGGCGUGAGCCACUGCGCCCAGCCUUGUAUUUUUUUUCAGUUUGGGUAGCUGUCCCUAAUUCAUUUGUUAAAGGAGAAGCAAGAGCAAGAACCUUUAAUCUGUUCUCCUCUUCCCUAAUUUGAAAGUAGCUUGUUAUUUUGAAUAUCACUUUCUCUGAAAUAGCACAUCUCCAUCUCAGAGAAUGGAUUUAAUGUUUGGAUACAGCCAAAAGUCAUUUCAUUACCAAACCAUGGGGUGAAUAUACCAUGUAAAGCAGUUUGGGAUCAGAACUCACAGUCUGAAUUGUAAGUGAUGAGACUGCUGUCUCUCUGCUACAGCUUCUUGGCUGGCUCUGAAGGCUCUUUGAAGGCAGAUCCUAACAAGGGGACUGCUUUGAAGGGCCAUUGUUCAUUUGGAAUGAUAAAGUCUAUGUUGUUCAAAAAACAAAUGCUUGUAGCAGGUAUUUUUUCACUCCAGACUGAGAAUAUUGGUGGGAUAUUGAUAAGGGGUACUGAAUGGUAAUAAACAUGUGCUCUAGCUCUGUGCUAGUCAGCUUAUUUCAGAACUCUAGUUUGAUUCAGUUUCUUGCCUCUGACUCAAAAUGGAGGGAGAGUGAUUUUUACAUAAGAGAACACACCCACAUAUCCUUUUGGCAGCAGCUACCUGCCAGAGAUGUUGAAGAAGAGUAGCCAACCUUUACACAGCAGAUAUUGUGUGCCAGUCAUAGUCCUAAGUAUAAUACCUUACAUGUAUAAACUUCUUAUAAGGUUGGUGCUCUGUACCGAAUUGAAUAGUAUCCCCCAAAAUUCAUGUUGUCCCAGAACCUAUGAAAGUGAUCUUACUUGAGGGAGGGGGGAGGGGGGAGGGAUAGCAUUAGGAGAUAUACCUAAUGCUAAAUGACGAGUUAAUGGGUGUAGCACACCAGCAUGGCACAUGUAUACAUAUGUAACUAACCUGCACAUUGUGCACAUGUACCCUAAAACUUAAAGUAUAAUAAUAAUAAAAUAAAAAAAAAAAAGAAAGUGAUCUUACUUGGAAAUAAGGUCUUUGCACAUAUGAUCAAGUUGAGAUGAAGUUGUACUGGAAAGUCUGUCUAGUGACUGGUGUUGUCAUAAGAAGAGAGGGACACAGAGGGAAGAUGGCCACAUGAAGAUGGAGGCAGAGAUUGCAGUUAUGCUGCUGCAAACUAAGGAAUGGCUCUGGCCCUCCAAGGAUUGCUGAUAACCACCAGAAACUAGAAGAGACAAGGAAGGAUUCUUCCCUAGAGCCUUCAGAGGGAGCAUGGCCCUACUGACACCUGGAUUUCAAACUUGUAGCUUCCUAAACUGCAAGAGAAUAAAUUUCUGUUGUUUUAAGCCA